GCCAGGUGCAGUGGUGUAUGCCUGUAAUCCCAGCGGCUCAGGAGGCUGAGGCAGAAGGAUCGUGAAUUAAAGCCAGCUUAGCGAGGACCUGAGAAACUCAGUGAGAUUCUUUCUCUA
rnacentral:sRNA from 1 species